AUAAUAAGAACUGUGCAGCCUUAAACAAUCUUAGCGUGUGCAGCAUGUACUAUGCCUUAAAAAGACCCAUAGUUUCCUGCAGUACACUUAACAUUUGGCAAGCAUCAAAUGCAUCUGGACAUCGGAACACAUGUUAAACCAUUGGGAAUAUUACAGUGUGGUAUCAACACAUCAGUUAAACAUAUAAUAUCCUAACUGACUACUGGACACCACCAGAAACCAACAGAAACUUUAUGUAAAUUCUUUUAAAAUUAUUUUAGUCCUUAUUGGAACUGGCUUAACGAUGACCAUUAGAGGCCACUAGUGUCCUGUUGAUGAAGUUAUAUUAGAAAAACAAAAUGCGUCUGUCACGGGUCACCUAUGAGGGUGAUUUCUUUUCUCUUUUUUUGUUUCUUUGUGACGAACCCUUCAAAAAAACAAAAGCACAUUAAAAAACACCAGAAACAUUUUUUUGUUUGUUUCUGUGUUGUUUUUUUCUCAGCAGGGAUUUGAGCACAUUUGUUUUAGCACUAAUUUUAGAGCUUGAUUAUCAAUUUAGUCCCUUUUUCUUUGGUGUUUGAGUAAAUCAGUCUCUUCACGAAUAUGCGCAGUUCUGCGCUGCACGUGCACCUCACAUAUUCUGCACAAAGUGUGCGCCGCCUGAUCGCGCUCUUUCUCACUUGCUCAAAAUGGCGUUAGCCUCAAACGCGGUUAGCUUUCGUAGCUAACGUUACCUCGACGAAUUACCAGUACGCCAAGAAUAAUACUGUCAUGUGUUUAACGUUUCCUAAUGUGUUUCUGAGAAUGCUGCUCAUGAGCCUGCCUCUCAGCUGCUCCAUCACUGUGCCUGCUGGGACUUUUACAGCAAAGUGUCAUGAGCGCCACUUCUGGUUGUCUGUCAAGGCCAGCUUUUUGGGGAGUGCAGUGCAAUUUAACGUUGAAGACAGCACUGGUAUCCACUUCUUGUCUAGUCAACGGGCUGCAGAAUGUGGCUACACAGUGGUGUGGAAUCACCAUGGAGAUCUUGUAUUCCGGGCCUCUUACCUCGCCUGCUAUGUAGAAAAUAGGAGAGACACUGAGUUCAGACUACAAGUGUGGUUUGUCAACAGACAAUCAGAUGGGAGCGUUGAGGCUUACCCGUUUAAGCUCCACUGCUCUGUGACUGAGCCCUUGAGCCCUAGGGAGAUUGUCUGUGAGGAAAACUACAUGGAGGUUUCCAUUCAAUGGUACAUCCCAGUUGAAGCAGAACAAUUUCGCAUGGAGCGUGUGAUCUUCUACAGGCCAGGUGAUGCUCACCCUGCAUCUCAGUCAGUCAAAGAGGCAGAAGCAUUAGGGUACCACAUUGUCGCCACAGAUACCCGAUUACUUCUGCGCGGUGCCUAUUCAUCACCAUUUUUCUAUAUGCGCAAGGAACAAGACAUCCAAAUGGAAGCAGUUGAUGCUAUCAUCGUUGUUCAGCUUGAAGGGGCAUCCAUCCCAGUUGAAAUUUCAAUGGCCUGCACAAAGAAUGAGGCUGUGGUGGAUGGUCUUCACCUGCUCUGGUCGUUCCCUCUAGCUGUUUCUUCUCUGGUGCAUGACUUGUUCAGAAAUGGCAGGAUAAGAAUGGAAGUAGGGGGAAGAAUGCUGAGUGACUGUGAGAUGCAUGAAAGUGGCUACAAAGCCACCCUGAAAGACCUCACCAUGGAGAUCAGGAUUCCAAGUGAGGCAAAUGGAGCACAAAUAAAGAGUGGUGUCAUUAAGGGCCAGUAUGUUCAGUCUCUGUCAGUGGAACUCUUUUACAUGCAUCACUGGGAAGAUGUGAUCUGGCUUCACACUCAGCAUCGCAGCUUCCGACUCCUUCAUACACCAUAUGUGCCUCAAACACCAACCCUCAUCAAUGACACAGUUUCUUCAACCAGUAUGUUCUCCGUCACCCUGGGUGUGUUCCCAGCUGAUGUGUCACUUCAAAAUAUCACUGUGGGGAAUGAUACAAUGACAUGGACAAAGGCACAAUACCAAGGACUUCAUUUGACCCAACUUCUCUUCACCAAUGGCAGCCAUGCCUACACACUUCACGUCCCCUUUUCCCACCCACUGGUCACCCAAAAGGUUAUCAGUAAACAUUACAGGAGACACGUCCUGGCCUUGACCUUUGACUUCUUCAUCUUACCUGAAGAGGAGCAUUUCAGCUAUAGCACAGAUGUAGUGUCUGAUCUAAAAGUACCAGCUGUUCCUGCCAGGCUAGAAGGCAGAUGUACAGAGAGAGGGAUUGUGGUGCUCCUGCACUAUGGCUCAGAAGAUGUGCAGUGGGAGUUGUAUGUGGGGCAACGCAGGAUUGACUGGGAGCUUGUAUGGCUUGGAGGAUACAAACUGAAGAGUGAAGAUGACCACUUGAGUGUGGAAUUGCCCCUGUACAGCCCUGGCAUGACUUAUGAGGACUUGAGUUUGAAGGACCUGGUUGCUAAGGUGGAGGUCAGUGCUUUGGAUGUGUUGACGCUCAAAGUGCAGCACUCUCUGGUCCAGCGCUGCACAUUUCCAGUCAGAGAUUUGUUGGCAUGUCUGCCCGAAGGAAGGAUGGUCGUGGUCGCAGACACGACUCGCUCCAUCCCUCCAGUCUUACCCAACAGCACCACUCUUCUGGACUCUUCCUGCACACCUGUGGCCACAGACAGCACCAGAGCCCUGUUCAACUUCAGCCUGGAUUCUUGUGGCACCACCAUGACUGUGGAGGGCAAUUUUCUGCUGUAUGAGAAUCAGAUAAGAUACAUGCAGACAUUUCUUCCAAAAGAAGACCCCCUUAUACAUGUUGACUCACCGUACAGAUUGACAUUGCAGUGUCGGUACCCGCUAAACAACACCAGAACAUUGACACUCCAUCCCCUUCGCAAUGCAACCAUCCAUCGUCCAUCAUUGCCUUGGAAACAGACGUGAAGGUCCAAAGGGAUAAACUAUUGCUGUCAGCCUCUCAUCAGAGGUCAGUGAGUCAGAGUGCAUCAAAAGGCCAGGAUGGAAGAUCCAACAAAUAAUCCAGUGCCUGCAUCAAGUGACGCACUGCAAUGAGGAAAUUGGUGUAUUUCUGCAAUGUGUAUGAUACAGAGAACAAUAAAAUGUUACAGAACCAUG